rnacentral:tRNA from 1 species
UCGAGAAUGGUGAAAUGGUAUCACACAAGAUUUUGAUUCUUGUAUUCUUAGUUCGAAUCUAAGCUCUCGAG